rnacentral:rRNA from 1 species
AUGAACGCUAGCUACAGGCUUAACACAUGCAAGUCGAGGGGCAUCAGGGUGUAGCAAUACACCGCUGGCGACCGGCGCACGGGUGAGUAACACGUAUCCAACCUGCCCUUUACUCGGGGAUAGCCUUUCGAAAGAAAGAUUAAUACCCGAUGGUAUAACAUGACCUCCUGGUUUUGUUAUUAAAGAAUUUCGGUAGAGGAUGGGGAUGCGUUCCAUUAGGCAGUUGGCGGGGUAACGGCCCACCAAACCUUCGAUGGAUAGGGGUUCUGAGAGGAAGGUCCCCCACAUUGGAACUGAGACACGGUCCAAACUCCUACGGGAGGCAGCAGUGAGGAAUAUUGGUCAAUGGGCGAGAGCCUGAACCAGCCAAGUAGCGUGAAGGAUGACCGCCCUAUGGGUUGUAAACUUCUUUUAUAUGGGAAUAAAGGGUGCCACGUGUGGCAUUUUGUAUGUACCAUAUGAAUAAGGAUCGGCUAACUCCGUGCCAGCAGCCGCGGUAAUACGGAGGAUCCGAGCGUUAUCCGGAUUUAUUGGGUUUAAAGGGAGCGUAGGUGGACAUGUAAGUCAGUUGUGAAAGUUUGCGGCUCAACCGUAAAAUUGCAGUUGAAACUGCGUGUCUUGAGUACAGUAGAGGUGGGCGGAAUUCGUGGUGUAGCGGUGAAAUGCUUAGAUAUCACGAAGAACUCCGAUUGCGAAGGCAGCUCACUGGACUGCAACUGACACUGAUGCUCGAAAGUGUGGGUAUCAAACAGGAUUAGAUACCCUGGUAGUCCACACAGUAAACGAUGAAUACUCGCUGUUUGCGAUAUACAGUAAGCGGCCAAGCGAAAGCAUUAAGUAUUCCACCUGGGGAGUACGCCGGCAACGGUGAAACUCAAAGGAAUUGACGGGGGCCCGCACAAGCGGAGGAACAUGUGGUUUAAUUCGAUGAUACGCGAGGAACCUUACCCGGGCUUGAAUUGCAACUGAAUGAUGUGGAGACAUGUCAGCCGCAAGGCAGUUGUGAAGGUGCUGCAUGGUUGUCGUCAGCUCGUGCCGUGAGGUGUCGGCUUAAGUGCCAUAACGAGCGCAACCCUUAUCUUCAGUUACUAACAGGUCAUGCUGAGGACUCUGGAGAGACUGCCGUCGUAAGAUGUGAGGAAGGUGGGGAUGACGUCAAAUCAGCACGGCCCUUACGUCCGGGGCUACACACGUGUUACAAUGGGGGGUACAGAAGGCCGCUACACAGCGAUGUGAUGCCAAUCCCUAAAGCCCCUCUCAGUUCGGAUCGAAGUCUGCAACCCGACUUCGUGAAGCUGGAUUCGCUAGUAAUCGCGCAUCAGCCACGGCGCGGUGAAUACGUUCCCGGGCCUUGUACACACCGCCCGUCAAGCCAUGGGAGCCGGGGGUACCUGAAGUACGUAACCGCAAGGAGCGUCCUAGGGUAAAACUGGUGACUGGGGCU